rnacentral:lncRNA from 10 species
GAAGGUGCGCGUGUGUUGGGGGGCAGAAGCUGUGCGUGUGUGUGUGAAGCCAUGUGUGUGCAGGGGUGAAGCCACGUGUGUGUGUGGGUGAAGCCACGUGUGUGUAUGGGUAAAUGUGAGUGUGUGUGUGUGUGUGUGGGUGAAGACACUGUGUGGGGGGUGAAGCCACGUGUGUCUGUGGGUGAAGCAUGUGUGUGGGGGUGAAGCUGUGUGUAUGUGGGGGGGUGAAGCCGCUUGUGUGUGAAGAUGGCCGAGGGCCAGUUCCCCAGAAACCAACUCCAUCAGGGGCCUGCGGCUGGCGGGUGAGAAACCUGCGGUCAACAUGGAUGGGAAGACAGGCACCGCGGGCACAGGGUUGUGCAGGAGGCACGUAUGACAACGACCGCAAGAGCCCAGAUCCAUGUCCUCGCCAGCUGAUGACAAUCACAAGAGCCCGGAUCUGUCCUCGCUGAUGCAAUCACCAAGCGACCGGGACAGGUGUCUUGCCUGCACCAAGUCACAGGGGUGACCGCAGGGGAAGCUGGCCUUGUGAGACAGUCAGGACCAGCUCCUCUGGGAGAAACGUUUGUGAAGUUUCUAACACCUUCCAGCUCGCUGAUUCUUCCCUCAGCCGCGUGUGCACAUGAGCCACUGCUUCAUUUCUGGUACUGUUUCUGAUUUCUAGGUUUUCUUUUUGAGUCCUUCUCAGAGCCUCGAGCCCCUAGCCUGACCCCCGAGCCUGACCCUCGAGCCCAACCGCCCAGCCCGAGGCCCCCCGACUGCGCUGAGCAUCAGCAGCAACACCUGCCGUGUGGGGCACUGAGAAUAUCGUCAGCAUCCGCAUGCCUCCCGGGACCGCACGCCUGCCAGGACCGCACGCCUCCCGCGACCGCACACCCCGCGACCACACGUCUCCCGCGACCGCAUGUCUCCCGCGACCACACGUCUCCCGCGACCACACGUCUCCCGCGACCGCACGUCUCCCGCGACCACACGUCUCCCGCGACCGCACGUCUCCCAUGUCCACACGUCUCCCGCGUCCACACGCCUCCUGUGUCUGCAUGCCUUCCUGACGCACCACGUGCUCAGGACAUGCUCGCUGCCCACUCCUCAUGUUGUUCUUGUUAGUUUGGCCACAUGGAGGGCUCUGGGGAAAGUUUUGCUAGAGUGAAGUGUGUAUCUCAUGUAUAGUUUUAAAUACACUGUAGGUUCACCAGGCACUUUAUGACUGAUUUAACUUAGUAGUAAAACAGGUAUUCAAAUGGCUACUGAAAAACACAAAAGGUCUGCAGAUCCGCGGCACGGCGCAGCCUGACGCACCAGCUCCUUGGCUCCAGCUUCCUGCAGCACACGCUGCGUCGGCGCGCUCUCUCCACUCUCGCCGGCCGCUCCGUGCCUGAGCGCACAGCACGCAGACGCCGUGUCUCCAAAACGGAGCGGAGAGCGCCACCGGCCGGCUCCUGCAAUUCUGUGCGGCUGAUCCUGCCACGGGCCUCAUAGAAGGGCUUGGAUGCUAUAAUUUGGAAGGAUCUGAAGGUCUUCAGGUAACGGGGCAGUGACAAAUCAUUUUGCUGGCCAGAAUCUUGCUCUCGUCAUCAAUGAAAUCACCACUCAAGCAACUGAGAUAAGACUACCGCGCAAUUUCACAGGAGCCGCUCCGUCUCCCGAGGGAGCACAAACACGGAAUCCGAACGAAACGACAUCGUUUGUGGCUCCACAGUUACUACGACGUGCAGGGCACUUCACAUGGAUGUCAUCUGCUCCGGAGGCCGCGUGGGGUUCUGAGAACUCACACACAGCAGGAAACGAUAGCGUCAGACGGGAAGUCAUCGCACAAACACCCCCAGGCCGUGUGGAGCACGCACGGAAGCCCCACACCCGGCCUAGCUCACGCACCUGCCCCCGACAAAGAAAUGAACAGGAGGGGACAGCUUGUGUCAGCGGAGCGUCUCAGGGCAAGUCUUUUCCGUGAAGACACACAGCACAUGACCAUCAAACGGGGAUGCUGUUCACGGCAGGGAGGACCGUCCCUGCCUGUUCUUAUUUCUGAAACAUGCAACCCUCUCAUUCGGCUUUUCAUUUUCUCACACUGGAUGGGAACACAGAUACAAACUAUUCCUUCCUCUUAACUCAACUCUAGGAAAGCCAGGUCCCCACCAGAGCCUUGCCAGGGAGCCAGUGUGGGACAGCCAAGGGGCCUCGAGUCCAGGUCCAGGAGGCCCCUGGAGUGACCUCUGGACAGUGGCUCAAGACACCCAGCCCACAGUGGCCACUCACAGAGACAGGGCAGGAGAGGUCUGGGGAAGCCAGACACCAGGAGGGGUGAGUGCCGAGACAAAAUCCCGGAAGACGGCACGCAGUCUUACCUUUAAAGUCAAACUGGUAGAUGUUUUUUAAGGACUCAUGAAGAAAAUAAAAGCUUCCUAGUGCCUGUAGAGCAAAAAGAGAAAUCAAAUGAGAGACUGGUGCUGGGAAUAUUUCUAAAGAUCAUUUUUAACAAUAAAAGAAGCUCUUUUAAACUAGCUAGAGCAAGAGUUUCACCAGUUAUAAUUUAAUCACAGUUACUGAGGCACAGGAUGUCAGGCAGAGGUAACCUGCAAACACCCAAACUCCACCAAGCUCCAGGCAUGCGGUGAGCCGUGCAGCCGCUGCUGGCUCCAGCAGGGACGCAAGUCCCACGGGCCAGGCAUUGAGUGGACCAGACCCUUCCCAGGUGAGCCGUGCAGCCGGUGCUGGCUCCAGCAGGGGCGCAGGUCCCGCGGGCUGGGCAUUGAGUGGACCAGACCCUUCCCAGGUGAGCCGUGCAGCCGGUGCUGGCUCCAGCAGGGGCGCAGGUCCCACCGGCCGGGCAUUGAGUGGACCAGACCCUUCCCAGCACUGAUGCUCGGCUUCGUCCUGGGGCCUCCAACCAUCAGCUCCACUGCGCCUGGCCCCACCCUGCCCCAUCGCCCCAGGAGCUGCCAGUGUCUCCCACUUACAAAUUAGCCGGAUGGUUGCAGAGCACAGGGAUCCCUGCUCUUCAUACCAGAGAAGGCAAAAGUACGCGGCUGGACGCCACAGGGCUGGGUCGACGGAUACCACACAGACAGUUACUUGUUGAUCUGAACUGCAAGUUUCACGUGGUAUUUUCUACAGAUGAACCUGUGUCUACAUGCAGCAGUGUGUUCGUACUGACAUGUGUAUUAUUUCUGUGUAUUUUUUUCUUUUGCUAAAUCUGGCAACCCCAACACGGGGCCUGGUGCAACUCUGGGGUGAUCAGAAUAUUCUACACUGGUUUGCAGUGGUUGCCUUUGUCAAAACUCACUAAAUUAUACCCCAAAGAGGGCGAAUCUCACCAUCUAUACAUUAAUCGUUAUAAACCUGACUUAACAAACAAACCUAUCUCAUAGGAGAUAGCUGUGUGCCCUGUGGGGGUAGCAGGUCCUGGGAUAAAGCAGGGGAGAGUUUGAAGCGGCGGUGCCAGGUGGGCCAGAGAGGAGGGCACACGGGCGCAGCUGCAGACGGAGGGCAGGGGCUGCCUGCAGGGAGCCCAACCGUUACCAGGUCACACAGGGCCUUCCACAGGGAAGAGACUCUGAGCCACUGGGGGCUCUAACCCCAACUCUGCAUUCUGAACAGGGCCUGUCCUCAGCUGAAAGCACAGGGCGUGGUGCAUCCCUCACUGUGUCUGUGUGAGCCUGUGGGCAACACAAGGGCAACGCCUGAGUAUCACCUCAUUCCAAGGCUUCACUUGUACACUCUUGCACAUUCAUGUACACACAUGCACACCACACGCUUGCAAACAUUAACACAUAUAUGCACUCACGCACAAGCACUCACAGGCACUCACACACACUUGCACACAUACACUCAUGCACACACAACAUGCAUUUGCUCACAGGCACUAACAUGCACACAUGCACUCAUGCACACUCACGUGCUUGCUCUCCCACUUGCACUCAU